UACAGAGGGUGCAAGCGUUGUUCUGAAUUAUUGGGCGUAAAGCGCGUGUAGGCGGCUUUGCAAGUCGGGUGUGAAAGCCCUCAGCUCAACUGAGGAAGUGCGCCCGAAACUGCAGAGCUUGAGUGCCGGAGAGGGUGGCGGAAUUCCCCAAGUAGAGGUGAAAUUCGUAGAUAUGGGGAGGAACACCGGUGGCGAAGGCGGCCACCUGGACGGUAACUGACGCUGAGACGCGAAAGCGUGGGGAGCAAACAGG
rnacentral:rRNA from 1 species